CGUCAUAGCGAGAUAAAAUUACGCAUUUUAGACAUAAGUCCAGCUAUGGCGUCAUCAAACCUUAUGACGUCGUCAGAAGUGUUAAAACAGCGUCCACCCUGUUUUAGCAGCGCUUAUGACGGCCACAAGACUGUCAACAUGGCUGCUGCACAACACCAAGAACUCCACCUCAGAAAUAUUUUCCGCAAUAAAGACGUUCUUAACGAACUCAACGAUGCUGAACUGAUCAAGCGAUACUGUCUAGACAAAGUUUGUCACAAAUCUUGUGAAGGAUGCCUUGUUCAGCAACACCAAAAGAAAGAACCCACUCACCCGCAAGAUAAAGGUCAUCAUUAUACAGAUAUAACUUGCCACGGGGAAAAUGUGACAGUGCAGCAGUGAUGACCUCUGCCCUUCAAAACCAGCAAACAGCAGAGCUGGAUGGACCACAAUAAUAGCUGCUUGACAAAAUCCGGGUCACCUGUAUCGAGAUGAACUCUACAACUUGCAUUUCAAAAACAAGUGUGUCAGCCAACUGGCAGCUGCUUCCUGUGCCUGUGGAGCUCUUCCCAUGAUCCCAUGAGGAGACGUCCUCCACAGCUGACCUGAAGGACUGUGCAAUCUCCACUGCUGAUCCGGCAGCACGUGCAGUCUCCUCCCCUGCCUGCCACCACCACCAGCUGCUCAACAGAAUCUGGGUCACCUGUAUCGAGGUGAAUUCUGCAACUUGCAUUUCAAGCAUGCUGGAUAUUCUCCACCUACAUAAACCAGUUUCUGUAAUUGGAUCUUGAAUAC
rnacentral:lncRNA from 1 species